rnacentral:rRNA from 1 species
UACGGAGGGGGCUAGCGUUGUUCGGAAUUACUGGGCGUAAAGCGCACGUAGGCGGCUUUGUAAGUCAGAGGUGAAAUCCCGGGGCUCAACCCCGGAACUGCCUUUGAGACUGCAUCGCUUGAAUCCAGGAGAGGUGAGUGGAAUUGCGAGUGUAGAGGUGAAAUUCGUAGAUAUUCGCAGGAACACCAGUGGCGAAGGCGGCUCACUGGUCCAUAACUGACGCUGAGGUGCGAAAGCGUGGGGAGCAAACAGG